AUCUUAGAACAAUCUAUACCAGCGAGACUUGAAUGAGGAAAGGCAGAGAUUCAUGUUUCUUCGGGAUGAACGCUUAACAGGCAGUGGAUUCAAGCAUUUUGGUCUAGAAAACAUCCCAGAUGAAGAAGCCUCCGAAUAGGGACUUUUAUGUUGUAUAAAAUUAUAUAGUUUAGCUGUAUAUAACAAGAUCACUUCUGGUUCUUUGUAAUGCUGAUGAUUAUUAAAUUAUAGACUCUUA
rnacentral:lncRNA from 1 species